UACGAAGGGGGCUAGCGUUGUUCGGAAUUACUGGGCGUAAAGAGCGCGUAGGCGGAUAUUUAAGUCAGGGGUGAAAUCCCAGAGCUCAACUCUGGAACUGCCUUUGAUACUGGGUAUCUUGAGUAUGGAAGAGGUAAGUGGAAUUGCGAGUGUAGAGGUGAAAUUCGUAGAUAUUCGCAGGAACACCAGUGGCGUAGGCGGCUUACUGGUCCAUUACUGACGCUGAGGUGCGAAAGCGUGGGGAGCAAACAGG
rnacentral:rRNA from 1 species